UCGAGCGAUGACGGUGGUGCUUGCGCCACCUGAUUAAUGACCAACGGGUGAGUAACACGUGACUAACCUGCCCCCCACUUCGGGAUAACCUCUGGAGAUCGUGGCUAAUACCGGAUAUGAGCACUCAUCGAAUGGUGAGGGCUGGAAUCAUUUAUCUUGGGGGGAUGGACUCCCGGCCUAUCAUUUUGUUGGUGAGGUGAUGGCUCACCCCUACGAUGACAUCCCUCCGGCCUGAAAGGGCGACCGGCCAACUGGGACUGAAAACGGCCCCACUCCUACGGGAGGGCCAGUGGGGAAUAUUGCACAAUGGCGAAAGCCUGAUGCACCGACGCCGCGUGUGGGAUGACGGCCUUCGGGUUGGUACCCCUUUCCUAGGGAAGGAAGGUGAGUGACGGUACCUGCAGAAGAAUUGCCGGCUAUCUACGUGCCAGCACCCGCGGUCUCCGUAGGGCGCAAGCGUUGUCCGGAAUUAUUGGGCGUAAAGAGCUUGUAGGUGGCUUGUCGCGUCUGCCGUGAAAACCCGAGGCUCACCUCGGGCGUGCGGUGGGUACGGGCAGGCUUGAGUGUGGUAGGGGAGACUGAAACUCCUGGAGAAGCGGUGAAAUGCCCAGAUGUCAGCGAUGAACAUGCGAUGGAGAUAUGCAGGUCUCUGGGCCAUUACUGACACUGCCCAAGCACAAAGCACUGGACUACUCGAACAGGAUUAGCGUAGCCCUG
rnacentral:rRNA from 1 species